AAUACAAGGUAUCACAUCAUAAAAAUGAUCAAUUUACAAAGAAAGAAGAGAGCCAGCGAGCUCUACAGCAGUUCACCAACACUAAAAAUUUUACAGUUAACUAAAAGAAAAACUAUAAUUCCAUGAACGACGGGACUUUGAGUUUUUCUUAGACAUCAACAGUUUCUGUAGAAGGUGAAGACAUCAACAGUUUAAACAGAAACCCGGCCAUUAACCCAAUGAGUCCCACCAGAAGUGCAAACUUUAGAGAGAAGCCUGCGUCACUUCUCCGCCUUUUUUGUCUCUUCAGCACUUCCAGUUCCUGUUGCAGCUGCUGCGUUUGUCGGAAAACUGCAUCUCUUUCAUCUCUGGCACGCUGCACUGCUUGACUAGAGUUGCCAUCAGAACUUUGUUUAAACGCAUCUUCAGAAUGUCCCGGAGAUGAGUGAGGAGAGAUGUAAACAACCCUAAGCUUGCACUCUUCUACAUUUCUUCCACUAUCCUUAUUAAAAGUAUCUGGAGGAAGUUCCUCAGCAUCACUAUUCACAAUGGUGCUCUGUAAGAGGAACUUGUCCUUGCAUUGCAUGUCCGAGGGAUACUCCUUUUGAGCUUGAAGGGUGACUCGUAUAAAACAUGAAUCCCAAGGAUGUAUAACACCCGUGUUUGGACGAACAAAAUACUUCUUAGGAGAAGUAGUUUUCACCUUGAAAGCAACAUAACUCUCUGUGCUGUUUGUAACUUUAAGAUCACAGUAGCUUUGUUUCUCCAGCUCAAAUUGGAAUUUGAGCUCCUCCGGACUAACAGAUAUAAACUGGUUUGUAGCACCAGUCAUGAUCACGAUCGAACCUCAAAGUAAUCGGCUAUUAAAAACCUUUUCACCGGAGAAAGAUCUGAAAGUAGCUUUACGGAGAGCUCCG
rnacentral:misc_RNA from 1 species